UUGCGGGGACUACAUUUCCCAGCAGGCCACGCGGAGGCUGAGUGCUUCCGAGCUCCGGCGGAGUGCCCUCGCUGCAGCGGCAGAGCUUUCCCUCGGGGGUCGGCCUUCGUGAGGCUAGGGCCUUCUGCCGCGCUGCCAGCGGCUUUCCUGGAACUCGGGUCUGGUCUUCUCAGGAGUGUGAGGGCAGAACACAUGGGAUUAAGAUGGCGAAAUAGAAGGACUGGAGCUCAACUUCUCUCCUAAAAACAACAAAAUUCACAACUAAAGGUUGAGCAUUUUUCACCCAAAUGGACGAGAAUCCUUAAAAAAAGAUAUCCUACUCCAGAAGAAAAAGAGGAGGCCACAUCAAGAGCCUUUGUUCUCUAGGCUCAAGGCGCUCGAGUGGGUGAGGCAGCGAGCGUGGAAGCAGCUCCAGGAGGCCUACUCAGGAGAAGGAGACUUGCAAGUUCCACAUCGCUUCCAAGUUGGAGAUUCAGUCUAUGUUAGACGCCACCGGGCAGGAAACCUCGAGACUCAGUGGAAGGGCCCUUAUCUCGUACUUUUGACCACACCAACGGCUGUGAAAGUCGAAGGAAUCUCCACCUGGAUCCAUGCGUCCCACGUCAAGCCCGCGCCACCUCCCGACUCGGGGUGGAGAGCUGAAAAGACUGAGAAUCCCCUUAAGCUUCGCCUCCAUCGCCUGGUUCCUUACUCUAACAAUAACUCCCCAGGCCAGUAGUAAACGCCUUAUAGACAGCUCGAACCCCCAUAGACCCUUAUCCCUUACCUGGCUGAUUAUUGACCCUGAUACGGGUGUCACUGUUAAUAGCACUCAAGGUGUCGCUCCUAUAGGCACCUGGUGGCCUGAACUGCAUUUCUGCCUCCGAAUGAUUAACCCCGCUGCUAAAAGCACACCUCCCAACCUAGUCCGUAGUUAUGGGUUCUAUUGCUGCCCAGGCACAGAGAAUGAGAAAUACUGUGGGGGUUCCAGGGAAUCCUUCUGUAGGAGAUGGAGC